rnacentral:rRNA from 1 species
AUUGAACGCUGGCGGCAUGCCUUACACAUGCAAGUCGAACGGCAGCACGGGAGCAAUCCUGGCGGCGAGUGGCGAACGGGUGAGUAAAGUAUCGGAACGUGCCCAGUCGUGGGGGAUAACGUAGCGAAAGUUACGCUAAUACCGCAUACGAUCUAUGGAUGAAAGCGGGGGAUCGCAAGACCUCGCGCGAUUGGAGCGGCCUAUAUCAGAUUAGGUAGUGGGUGGGGUAAAGGCUCACCAAGCCGACGAUCUGUAGCUGGUCUGAGAGGACGACCAGCCACACUGGGACUGAGACACGGCCCAGACUCCUACGGGAGGCAGCAGUGGGGAAUUUUGGACAAUGGGCGAAAGCCUGAUCCAGCCAUGCCGCGUGCAGGAAGAAGGCCUUCGGGUUGUAAACUGCUUUUGUACGGAACGAAACGGUCUGGGUUAAUACCCCGGGCUAAUGACGGUACCGUAAGAAUAAGCACCGGCUAACUACGUGCCAGCCGCCGCAGUAA